UCCUCACCCGAACCCAUUUCUUUCUUCCCUCUCUCGAUCUCCCCGACUCCUCUCGCUAUCUUGCUCUCGCGCGGAUGACUCAACGCCGAGGUCGAAGGAGGCUCACCACCGAAGCUCGACGGAUACCAGCGGGCUCCAAGUCGUCACUGGCUGAGGGGUUUUUGCUUCGGCGGAUUUUGUGAUCAAUUGUCGACAAUCGGGGCUAGGGCACGGUGAGGAGCCGAAUCUAGCAUUAUUUCCAAUUGGUAGACCCUCCUCCCUCUCCUUCCCUCGCGCUGCUCACGGUGCGAUCCACCUCCUUUCUUGCAAGAAUUGAACGGUGAUGCCAUCGGGAGGUGAUCUAGAGAGAUUGGUUCUCCUCUUCUUGUGGCUAAUUGGGGGAUUCGGUUGAUGAUGAUGAAGUGUUCUUGAGUUUUCGGGCAGAAGCUAACAGGGUUGUUGCUAGUUUAGUGAGCUUCUUGCUUGAUUCCUCUACUUGAUCCGAUGGAUUCCAGUGAGGUGCUAGAACUGUGAUAGGGAGGUGAAUCCAUCAGUGAGGAUCUGUUGAAGGUGAUCUUGGUUUCAGUGGUGUUUCCUUGCCGGCAACACUCCAACCAGCAGCUUGAUCGGCUGUGAAUCAAGGUGUUGAUUUUGGGCACCUGUUUGUGCUGGACCAGCUGUAAAUGGGUGGAGAAGCUCUAUUUUUCUCCACAACAAACUUUGGAUUUCUUCAUCAAAGGGUGUGAAUGGAUCAAGGACUUGGAUUCGGGACGAGCGUCUCGACGUGGGAUUUGUGGACACGGUCUAUGAAUUAAGG